rnacentral:rRNA from 1 species
AGCAGCCGCGGUAAUUCCAGCUCCAAUAGCGUAUAUUAAAGUUGUUGCAGUUAAAAGCUCGUAGUUGAAUUUCGGGAUCAAUUUGCUGGUCGUGCCUCCGGUACGUACUGGUAUUUAUUGGUUUCUCCCUUCCGACUAACCAUGAUGUCAUUCAUUUGGUGUUGUGGGGAAUCAGGACUGUUACUUUGAAAAAGUUAGAGUGUUUAAAGCAGGCAUAAGCUUGAAUACAUUAGCAUGGAAUAAUGAAAUAGGACGUUUGAUCCUAUUUUGUUGGUUUCUAGGAUCGACGUAAUGAUUAAUAGGGAUAGUUGGGGGCAUUAGUAUUCAAUUGUCAGAGGUGAAAUUCUUGGAUUUAUUGAAGACUAACUACUGCGAAAGCAUUUGCCAAGGAUGUUUUCAUUAAUCAAGAACGAAAGUUAGGGGAUCGAAGACGAUCAGAUACCGUCGUAGUCUUAACCAUAAACUAUGCCGACUAGGGAUCGGAUGAUGUUAAUUUUUAAUGUACUCAUUCGGCGCCUUA